GCUCAGGCACAAAGGGAAACACGGUCUGCUGCUCGGAGGAGGGAUUUAAAGGGCCCCGUGAGGGUCCCGAGGACCCAGGUGUGGGCUGGCGUGAAAAGGCAGGAGCAGACGGGAAGAAAGUGGACCGGAGCUGCGGCGACAACUGAGGCCGGAGCGGCGGCUCCGGCUGCUGAGGACGAAGCAGAGGCGGAGAUAGAGCAGCAAGAUCGGCCUGCGUGUCUGCACGGCUUCCCGCUGCAGGGGCUGGAGAAGGUGGCUGUGUAUCCAGUGUCUUCAUCUGUUUCGUGGCAGUAAAAAGUCCUCAUGUGAUUAUUUACGGAGUAAAGAGGACAAAUUCCUAUAACAAAGUACGUGCGCGAUCUGGAGAUGCUUAAGACACAAGGGUUCUGAUAUUUAAGAGCACUCUUGGCCAAAGAACCCAGAAUGCGAGGCUCGGUAUGGAACAAUGGUUAAUGAACAACUGUGGAGGAUGCAGAACAGUAUGUAGGCUGUGCUGUGUUUGGGGCCCAA